UCAACCAAGCUUUAGAUAGGUCCCAAUUAAAGAGUAGAAAUUGAAGAUGUCUUUCCACAGUUUUCUUAUAAUUAGACAAUACUAACUUUUUCGCACAUGCAUACAAAUAAUUAUUUUUUAUUUUUAUUUAUAAAUACGCAUUUGCAAAUAUGCUUGUCAUUGUAGCUAUGUACAUAUUGGUUACGAUGGGUGAAUAUGAAAUGAGUGAAUAAUAUAUAAAAUAAAAAAAAGAAACUCACGAAUUUCCUCACCAAAAGAGAAAUUUGUAGUAAUCCUCUCUAGAACCAGAAGCUCUGAAACACAAACUGAGGUAAAACCCUAGCUGCCGACCUUAGCCCUUGGCUUAGGUGCCAGUGGCAACCCCCCCUCCCUUUGUCUUUUCCUUAUUCUCUCCUCUCAUUCUCUCUUGCUCGUAUUUUAGUUUUCCUUUCAGCUUUGUUUCGAUUUUUUGAGAUUGGUCUCCUCCUUUCCCUGAGCUUGUCUCAGUUUCGGGCUUCAUGCCCUUUCUUUGGCGAUCAUCAUUCUUUCUCCAACCUCCCUCUUUUCCGGCCCCCCACCUUUCCUUUAUACCUCACCUCCUCAUAAUCCACCCACACCCCAUCCUAGGCUUCUAUCUUUGUGCGCCAAAUCGAAAAUGGAUGCUAGAUCCAUCUCCCGUACUCACUUCCUUUCCCCCAGCAGGCAUGCCGGAAUCCCUUUGAGGCCAAGUGUUCAGUGGUUUCGGCAGAAGGAUUUGUCAUGGUGGUUCGGAUCUAGUGGCUACUUCUCGGUUUGGCAGUGGCAAAUUUUGGUUAUGGUGUACUUUUAGUUGUGGGUUUGUAAGUUUUCUAUUACGAUGUUUUGGUCAAAUUGACCACUUGGUUGCUUUCUCUAGUUUUGCUGCUUUGGUGGCUACUGGCAAGACGUUUGUGAUACCGACUGCAUUGGCAGACUGCGUUUGGAAAUUAGGGAUUAGGGUUUUAAUUUGUGCUAGUUUGCUUAUUGGGCUGGGCUUUAUGUAUUUGAUUCCCCCAACUUGCUUUGGGUUACUUUUGCUUUCCGUUUGCAUUGGUGUAACCUUUUCUACUUAAUUAAGGAAUGCUCCUUUUCGACCAAAAAAGAAAUGAGUGAAUAAAUGAAGUUGUUGAUAACAGUAAAUU